AAACCAUGCAUCGGGCAUUUGCGUAGCAAUUCUUUAAAUCACUCCAUGCUUGAUACAAGCUCUCAUCCUCCAAUUGGUUGAAAUAUGUGAUGUCAUUCCUCAAUUU